GUACUCACUUCAGCAUAUAUACUAAAAUUGGAAUGACAGAAGAUUAGCAUGGUCCCUCUGCAAGGAAGACAUGCAAAUUCAUGAAGCACUUCAUUAAAAA
rnacentral:snRNA from 1 species